rnacentral:rRNA from 1 species
UACGUAGGGUGCGAGCGUUAAUCGGAAUUACUGGGCGUAAAGCGUGCGCAGGCGGUUUUGUAAGACAGGUGUGAAAUCCCCGGGCUUAACCUGGGAACUGCAUUUGUGACUGCAAGGCUGGAGUGCGGCAGAGGGGGAUGGAAUUCCGCGUGUAGCAGUGAAAUGCGUAGAUAUCUGGAGGAACACCGAUGGCGAAGGCAGCCUCCUGGGCUAGUACUGACGCUCAUGCACGAAAGCGUGGGGAGCAAACAGG